rnacentral:snRNA from 1 species
GGAUGUGAGGGCGACCUGGCUGUGACAUCUGUCACCCCACUGAUCACCAGGGUUGAUUCGGCUGAUAUGGCUGGCUAGGCGGUGUCCUUCCUCCCUCACUGCUCCAUGUGCAUUCCCUCGGCCGAAGAUGACAACCAUUCCUGAUAGAGGAAGACUGUUCUUCUGUCAAGGGUACACGAGUAGCUGCGCUCCCCUGCUAGAACCUCCAAACAAGCUCUCAAAAACAUUAACUUGUACUAUUUUGAGUCCUAUUCCUAGAAUAUUGCUCCCUGAUCAUGGUGCAUUAGUCAG